rnacentral:lncRNA from 1 species
AAGCCCCGCCCCCCAGUGGGCGGAGAAGGCGUUACAAGCCAAGGGUGCCUGGUGUCAAAUCUUAUAUACUGGGACUCCUAAAACAUCUGAAGUCUACCAUCUCCUUCCUAGCCUCAUCUUCCUGGGCCCUUAAAUACCUCUUCCUAGAUGAAGGCAGCACCUUGAGACUAAAUUCAACCCAACACUACAGGUUGUGUUGUGUUGUGUUGAGAUUGCAGAUAAGGCCUUGAAGCAAUGGUAAAGGAAAAAGAAUCAGAAAAUUGGCUGCCAUCGCUACAGGCUGUGUACUUAGUUAUGUGUCAUCUGUAUCUCUACUGCAACCCUUGCUAGAAUGUGUGCCGGCUAUGAGCAGGGUCAUUGUCUGUCUUGUUCACUGCUAGAUCCUCAGCACCUGGAACUAUACCUGGAACAUGGAAGGAAGUCAAGCAAUAUUUAUUUAAUGUUAAAUAAGUGAAUCUCUGUAGCAUUAAUGGUAAAAAGACUUCCAUAUUUGCCUUCAAUUAGAUUUUAAGAUGACAGUCUAUAAAAAACAGCUUGCAAUAUACAGAAGUUCAUUUAAGAAUA